UGGGGAAUUUUGGACAAUGGGCGAAAGCCUGAUCCAGCAAUGCCGCGUGUGUGAAGAAGGCCUUCGGGUUGUAAAGCACUUUUGUCCGGAAAGAAAUCCUUGGCUCUAAUACAGUCGGGGGAUGACGGUACCGGAAGAAUAAGCACCGGCUAACUACGUGCCAGCAGCCGCGGUAAUAGCGUAGGGUGCAAGCGUUAAUCGGAAUUACUGGGCGUAAAGCGUGCGCAGGCGGUUUGCUUAAGACCGAUGUGAAAUCCCCGGGCUCAACCUGGGAACUGCAUUGGUGAUCUGGCAGGGCUAGAGUAUGGCAGAGGGGGGUAGAAUUCCACGUGUAGCAGUGAAAUGCGUAGAGAUGUGGAGGAAUACCGAUGGCGAAGGCAGCCCCCUGGGCAAUACUGACGCUCAUGCACGAAAGCGUGGGGAGCAAACAGGAUUAGAUACCCUGGUAGUCCACGCCCUAAACGAUGUCAACUAGUUGUUGGGGAUUCAUUCCUUAGUAACGUAGCUAACGCGUGAAGUUGACC
rnacentral:rRNA from 1 species